AUUUUAUUCUUGUUACAAUAAUUAUGUGCUCUUUCACUCUUAUUAACAAGAAAACAGUAGGAAAUAUCAAGCCUAUUCUGCCAAUCCUAUUACUAUAUGAUCAUACAUAAUUUUCUAGACUGGAUAAAUAAUACAGAAGAAGAAAAUUUGGCCUAAAUUUUAUUGACAUUAUUGGAUAAUUUUGAUAGAUGAUGUUCAGUCAAGGAGAUGUUUUCUGUGGAGUAGAAGAAGAAGCUGGGGGGAUUCCUGGGAUACGAGGAGGUGAAGGAGGGAAAGGGAACGGAGGGAAAGGAAGAAAUGGGAUGAUAGGUGGUGGUGGUGAUGGUGGAGUGAGGCCAGGAAUUGGUGGUAAAGGAAUCAAUGGCGCUGGAGGAGGCUGGAGUGGAUUAGGGGGAAGCAAUGGAGGGAUUAGUGGUGGUGGUUGAAGUGGGUUUGGAAGUAACGGAGGUGGCUGAAAAGGGUUUGGAGGAAAAAGGGGCGGUGUUGGAAAGAAAAAGUUAGGGCUUACUUCUUUCUGAUCUGACGCUUGUGCGCUCUUCAAAGACUCAGUAUAAGCUUUUGUGUUUGUGCUGGUCUUUCCAGGCACUGGUGGAAGGUAAGGUAAUCCUGGAAUAGGUGGGAAAGGAGGGAGUUUUGGCAAUGGUGGCAGGUUUGGAAGUAGAGGAACCGAAGGAUUUUGGUUCACAGGGGGGAGAUCAGGGACUGUUGGGUCUUGAAGUGGAGGUGGAAAUGCUGGGCUAUCAGAAGGAGGGAUAGAAGGUAUUGAGGAUUUUUGGGCAUUAAGUUCCCUGGAAUUUUGGAUGCUUGGUUUUUGGUUGCAGAGGUUUGGUUGCUUCUGGGGCUUGAAACUGAAAAAUCCAGCUGAGAAGAUGUGUAGUCCUUCCUUUCUUGACUUGAGACGUAGAGAUGAUGAAGUUGCUGUUGAUGCUACUGCACAAUAUGGUUCACUGCUACUCAACAAUUUCACUGAGCAUCUCUUGAUUCUCUUUACAUGCUUACUAACUGAGAAAGGCAAGUGAACUUUGAACUCUCCAUGCUCAUCUGUUUUCACUUCUUUGCGAAAGUUUGAUUUUGAAUUCUCAUCUGUGCAUUCCACUGCAACAGAUGCUCCUGAAAUGAAGUGGCUGUUCUUU
rnacentral:misc_RNA from 1 species